UAUCACAAUUCUAGCCUGGCAA
rnacentral:miRNA from 2 species